UACACUGGAAACCACAUUCUUUUCAACCCUAGGGUCUAUACAUCAUUCUAGGCAUUAUCACUGAGCUAUGUACCCAGCCCUGGAUUCUGCAUUUGCAUCCCUUCAAAUCAUCUGGAAUUUUAUUUCUCCUGUGCUCAAGAGAGUCAGAGUUGAACAGGAAAAAAAGAUCUUACACUUUAUCAAGGCUCAUUCAAGGUGUUGCUGGAUCCCCAUUGGACUCCCCAUGGACCCGGGCCAAGUCUUCCUGAAGCUGAGAGGAAGCCACAGAAUCGGAGGUGAGCUGGAACUAUACUCAUGGCUCCUUUUGGGGGGGGG
rnacentral:lncRNA from 1 species